GAUGAAGAACGUAGCGAAAUGCGAUAAGUAGUGUGAAUUGCAGAAUUCAGUGAAUCAUCGAAUCUUUGAACGCACAUUGCGCCCCUUGGUAUUCCAUGGGGCAUGCCUGUUCGAGCGUCAUUUGUACCUUCAAGCUCUGCUUGGUGUUGGGUGUUUGUCUCGCCUUUGCGUGUAGACUCGCCUUAAAACCAUUGGCAGCCGGCGUAUUGAUUUCGGAGCGCAGUACAUCUCGCGCUUUGCACUCAGAACGACGACGUCCAAAAGUACAUUUUUACACUCUUGACCUCGGAUCAGGUAGGGAUACCCGCUGAACUUAAGCAUAUCAAUAAGGA
rnacentral:misc_RNA from 1 species